UACGGGGGGGGCAAGCGUUGUCCGGAAUCACUGGGCGUAAAGGGCGCGUAGGCGGCCUGAUAAGUAGGGGGUGAAAUCCUGCGGCUUAACCGCAGGGCUGCCUUCUAAACUGUCAGGCUGGAGCACAGUAGAGGCAGGUGGAAUUCCCGGUGUAGCGGUGGAAUGCGUAGAGAUCGGGAAGAACAUCAGUGGCGAAGGCGGCCUGCUGGGCUGUUGCUGACGCUGAGGCGCGACAGCGUGGGGAGCAAACAGG
rnacentral:rRNA from 1 species